CACCGCCCGUCGCUCCUACCGAUUGGGUGAGCUGGUGAAGUGUUCGGAUUGAGCUUGGCUGGGGCAACCUGGCCUUGCUUGAGAAGUUCAUUAAACCCUCCCACCUAGAGGAAGGAGAAGUCGUAACAAGGUUUCCGUAGGUGAACCUGCGGAAG
rfam:Chlamydomonas reinhardtii strain CC-503 cw92 mt+ CHLREscaffold_21 genomic scaffold, whole genome shotgun sequence.